rnacentral:rRNA from 1 species
GCGUGCAGGAUGAAGGCCUUCGGGUUGUAAACUGCUUUUGUACGGAACGAAACGGCGAGCUCUAAUACAGUUUGCUAAUGACGGUACCGUAAGAAUAAGCACCGGCUAACUACGUGCCAGCAGCCGCGGUAAUACGUAGGGUGCGAGCGUUAAUCGGAAUUACUGGGCGUAAAGCGUGCGCAGGCGGUGAUGUAAGACAGAUGUGAAAUCCCCGGGCUCAACCUGGGACCUGCAUUUGUGACUGCAUCGCUAGAGUACGGCAGAGGGGGAUGGAAUUCCGCGUGUAGCAGUGAAAUGCGU